CAUGACAUCACAAUGCCUACGUCAUUCACCUCACGUCAUCUCAUUAGCAGGCAUUUCACCAUCUCACAAACAUGGGUAUAGUACAAAAAGCUACUUUGAGAGAGAGAGACUGCAUUCAGGAUUUUAUGUUUUAAUCACAACAAGGCAGACUACUAAUUGGAAAAUGCUUUGAAUUCUCAAAACAUGACUCAGCUUUCUGAACAAAUGCUUUUUAAUCAAUGCUUAAUGAAGACUAAGAAGAGAGAAAAAGAAGAAUCCUAACUUAGAUAU